GGUCCAGUAGCAUAGUGGUUAAUGCAGCGGAAUUUAUUACAUCAACCGUGAAUUGUAUUCUGAGUUGCCUUGGUCGAAUCAAGGCUGGACCA